AAGGAUCAUUAAUUGAUCAAAGUGAAAAAAGGCUGUUUUUUAUUCGCAAGAACAAGGAACGCCUUUUUUUAUUCACUGUGAACUGUAUUGUACUGUUGUAAUUUUAUUGUUUAUUAUUUUUUACCUUUUCACAAGGGUAAAAGACAAAUAAGGACAACUUUCAGCAAUGGAUCUCUUGGCUCUUGCAUCGAUGAAGAACGCAGCGAAAUGCGAUACGUAAUGUGAAUUGCAGAACCGUGACUCAUCGAAAUUUUGAACGCACAUUGCACCUAGUGGCAUUCCACUAGGUAUGCUUGUUUGAGGGUCUGUUUAUUUUCUCUUGACCUUGGUUUAAAAUCGCAAGAUUUUUUAACUUGGCUCAAGGACUUGGUCUUGUAAAAUUUACAUUUUACUUGGCUUUAAUUCAGACCGUGGUCUAUUAAAACCUAUCGCUUUAACGGCGAAGGGUGCUAGACAUAUCCAUAUCAGCCAACUUGUUGGUUUACCUUGGGUAAGUUCUACACUCGGGACGUUAAUAUGUGGGAUUUAUUACAUGACCCCAUCGGGAAAAAAACUAGUUUUUUAACCACUUGGACCUCAAAUCAAGCAAGGCUACCCGCUGAACUUAAGCAUAUUAAUAAGCGGAGGAAAAGAAACUAACAAGGAUUCCCCGAGUAAUGGCGAAUGAAACGGGAAAAGCCCAAAUUUAAAAUCUCUGGCGCGAGCCAGCGAGUUGUAAUUUGUAAAAUGGGUCCUUGGCUUGAAUGCCGCGGUAACAAGUCCACUGGAAUGUGGCGGGCUUCGGUCCAAAGUCAUAGAGGGUGAAAACCCCGUGAAUUACCGCGGAUUUUUCAAGUCAGUGUAGGGCCUAUUUAAAGAGUCGGAUUGUUUGGGAAUGCAAUCCAAAACGGGUGGUAAACUCCAUCCAAGGCUAAAUAUUAGCAAGAGACCGAUAGCGAACAAGUACCGUGAGGGAAAGAUGAAAAGAACUCUGAAGAGAGGGUUCAAUAGUACGUGAAAUUGCUGAAAGGGAAACGCUUGAAUCGAUUGUUGCAUUUAAAAGACUUGUCUUUUUUUUGCAAGUCAGCAGCAGUUUUCGCGGGCAGAGAAGCAGCUCAAGAAGGUAGCCCCCUUUCGGGGGGGUCUUAUAGCUUGAGCGACGCUGUGUUCGCGGGGACUGAGGACUGCCAUGCAUUUCGGGGCUAUUCUUGGAAAAUAGUGUUUUAUUUCUGAAUGCGCUUGGCUUGCCAAGACUUUGAGAAUUAAUUCAUUGACAUUUCAAGGAUCCCCUUGCGUGAAGGUUGCUGACAAAAUGGAUUUAAACGACC
rnacentral:rRNA from 1 species